AUACGUAGGUGGCAAGCGUUAUCCGGAUUUAUUGGGCGUAAAGCGAGCGCAGGCGGUUUUUUAAGUCUGAUGUGAAAGCCUUCGGCUUAACCGAAGAAGUGCAUCGAAAACUGGGAAACUUGAGUGCAGAAGAGGACAGUGGAACUCCAUGUGUAGCGGUGAAAUGCGUAGAUAUAUGGAGGAACACCAGUGGCGAAGGCGGCUCUCUGGUCUGUAACUGACGCUGAGGCUCGAGAGCGUGGGGAGCGAACAGGAUUAGAUACCCUGGUAGUCCACGCCGUAAACGAUGAGUGCUAAGUGUUGGAGGGUUUCCGCCCUUCAGUGCUGCAGCUAACGCAUUAAGCACUCCGCCUGGGGAGUACGACCGCAAGGUUGAA
rnacentral:rRNA from 1 species